UACCAAGGCGACGACGGGUAGCCGGCCUGAGAGGGUGACCGGCCACACUGGGACUGAGAUACGGCCCAGACUCCUACGGGAGGCAGCAGUGGGGAAUAUUGCACAAUGGGCGCAAGCCUGAUGCAGCAACGCCGCGUGAGGGAUGAAUGCCUUCGGGUUGUAAACCUCUUUUAGUAAGGAAGAAGCCGCAAGGUGACGGUACUUGCAGAAAAAGCACCGGCUAACUACGUGCCAGCAGCCGCGGUAAUACGUAGGGUGCAAGCGUUGUCCGGAAUUAUUGGGCGUAAAGAGCUCGUAGGCGGUUUGUCGCGUCUGCUGUGAAAUCCCGGGGCUCAACCCCGGGCCUGCAGUGGGUACGGGCAGACUAGAGUGCGGUAGGGGAGAUUGGGAUUCCUGGUGUAGCGGUGGAAUGCGCAGAUAUCAGGAGGAACACCGAUGGCGAAGGCAGAUCUCUGGGCCGUUACUGACGCUGAGGAGCGAAAGCAUGGGGAGCGAACAGGAUUAGAUACCCUGGUAGUCCAUGCCGUAAACGUUGGGAACUAGAUGUAGGGCCUGUUCCACGGGUUCUGUGUCGUAGCUAACGCAUUAAGUUCCCCGCCUGGGGAGUACGGCCGCAAGGCUAAAACUCAAAGGAAUUGACGGGGGCCCGCACAAGCGGCGGAGCAUGCGGAUUAAUUCGAUGCAACGCGAAGAACCUUACCAAGGCUUGACAUAUGGCAGAACGCUCUAGAAAUAGAGAACUCUUUCGACACUGUUAUACAGGUGGUGCAUGGUUGUCGUCAGCUCGUGUCGUGAGAUGUUCGGUUAAGUCCGGCAACGAGCGCAACCCUCGUCCUAUGUUGCCAGCGGGUUAUGCCGGGGACUCAUGGGAUACUGCCGUGGUCAACACGGAGGAAGGUGGGGAUGACGUCAAAUCAUCAUGCCCCUUAUGUCUUGGGCUUCACGCAUGCUACAAUGGCCGAUACAAAGGGCUGCGAUACCGCGAGGUGGAGCGAAUCCCAGAAAGUCGGUCUCAGUUCGGAUUGGGGUCUGCAACUCGACCCCAUGAAGUCGGAGUCGCUAGUAAUCGCAGAUCAGCAACGCUGCGGUGAAUACGUUCCCGGGCCUUGUACACACCGCCCGUCAAGUCAUGAAAGUCGGUAACACCCGAAGC
rnacentral:rRNA from 1 species